AUUGAACGCUGGCGGCGUGCUUAACACAUGCAAGUCGUGCGGUAACAGGCGUAGCAAUACGUGCUGACGAGCGGCGAACGGGUGCGUAAUACAUGGGAAUCUGCCUUUUAGUGGGGAAUAACCCGGCGAAAGCCGGGCUAAUGCCGCAUAAGAUCUUCGGAUGAAAGCGGGGGAGUCGUAAGACCUCGCGCUGAUAGAUGAGCCCACUGCCGGAGUUAGUCAGUUGGUUGAGGUAACGGCGUCACCAAGGCGACGAUCCGUAGCUGGUCUGAGAGGACGGCCAGCCACACUGGGACGUGAGACACGGCCCACGACUCCUACGGGAGGCAGCAGUGGGGAAGUCUUGCGCAAUGGGCGGAAGCCUGACGCAGCAACGCCG
rnacentral:rRNA from 1 species